UACGAAGGGGGCUAGCGUUGUUCGGAAUUACUGGGCGUAAAGGGCGCGUAGGCGGUACUUCAAGUCAGGCGUGAAAGCCCCGGGCUCAACCUGGGAACCGCGCUUGAGACUGGAGAACUAGAGUUCGGGAGAGGAUGGUGGAAUCCCCAGUGUAGAGGUGAAAUUCGUAGAUAUUGGGAAGAACACCGAUGGCGAAGGCAGCCAUCUGGACCGACACUGACGCUGAGGCGCGAAAGCCAGGGGAGCAAACGGG
rnacentral:rRNA from 1 species